UUGAACGCUGGCGGCAUGCUUUACACAUGCCAGUCGAACGGUAACAGGCCUUCGGGUGCUGACGAGUGGCGAACGGGUGAGUAAUGCAUCGGAACGUACCCAGAGGUGGGGGAUAACGCAGCGAAAGCUGUGCUAAUACCGCAUGUGAUCUGAGGAUGAAAGCGGGGGACCGAGCAGCAAUGUUUGGCCUCGCGCCUUUGGAGCGGCCGAUGUCGGAUUAGCUAGUUGGUGGGGUAAAGGCCUACCAAGGCGACGAUCCGUAGCUGGUCUGAGAGGCCAACCGCCAAACUGGGGACGGAGCACGGGCCCGACCCCCACGGGGAGACGGAGGUGGGGAAUUUGGGCAAAGGGGGGAAAGCCGAAUCCAGCAAUGCGGGGGGCGGGAAGAAGGCCUCGGGGUGGAAAACCGGUUUUGGAAGGAAGAAAACGGUGGCCGGUAAAACCGGGCGCAAAGAACGGUACCGGAAAAAAAAGCACCGGCAAACUAGGG
rnacentral:rRNA from 1 species